rnacentral:rRNA from 1 species
GGGUUGUGAGGUUAAGCGACUAAGCGUACACGGUGGAUGCCCUGGCAGUCAGAGGCGAUGAAGGACGUGCUAAUCUGCGAAAAGCGUCGGUAAGGUGAUAUGAACCGUUAUAACCGGCGAUGUCCGAAUGGGGAAACCCAGUGUGAUUCGUCACACUAUCGUUAACUGAAUACAUAGGUUAACGAGGCGAACCGGGGGAACUGAAACAUCUAAGUACCCCGAGGAAAAGAAAUCAACCGAGAUUCCCCCAGUAGCGGCGAGCGAACGGGGAGCAGCCCAGAGUCUGAAUCAGCUUGUGUGUUAGUGGAACGGUCUGGAAAGUCCGACGGUACAGGGUGAUAGUCCCGUACACCAAAAUGCACAGGUUGUGAACUCGAAGAGUAGGGCGGGACACGUGGUAUCCUGUCUGAAUAUGGGGGGACCAUCCUCCAAGGCUAAAUACUCCUGACUGACCGAUAGUGAACCAGUACCGUGAGGGAAAGGCGAAAAGAACCCCGGCGAGGGGAGUGAAAAAGAACCUGAAACCGUGUACGUACAAGCAGUGGGAGCACCUUCGGGUGUGACUGCGUACCUUUUGUAUAAUGGGUCAGCGACUUAUAUUCUGUAGCAAGGUUAACCGUAUAGGGGAGCCGCAGGGAAACCGAGUCUUAACUGGGCGUUAAGUUGCAGGGUAUAGACCCGAAACCCGGUGAUCUAGCCAUGGGCAGGUUGAAGGUUGGGUAACACUAACUGGAGGACCGAACCGACUAAUGUUGAAAAAUUAGCGGAUGACUUGUGGCUGGGGGUGAAAGGCCAAUCAAACCGGGAGAUAGCUGGUUCUCCCCGAAAGCUAUUUAGGUAGCGCCUCGUGAAUUCAUCUUCGGGGGUAGAGCACUGUUUCGGCUAGGGGGUCAUCCCGACUUACCAACCCGAUGCAAACUACGAAUACCGAAGAAUGUUAUCACGGGAGACACACGGCGGGUGCUAACGUCCGUCGUGAAGAGGGAAACAACCCAGACCGCCAGCUAAGGUCCCAAAGUCAUGGUUAAGUGGGAAACGAUGUGGGAAGGCACAGACAGCCAGGAUGUUGGCUUAGAAGCAGCCAUCAUUUAAAGAAAGCGUAAUAGCUCACUGGUCGAGUCGGCCUGCGCGGAAGAUGUAACGGGGCUAAACCAUGCACCGAAGCUGCGGCAGCGACACUAUGUGUUGUUGGGUAGGGGAGCGUUCUGUAAGCCUGCGAAGGUGACCUGUGAGGGUUGCUGGAGGUAUCAGAAGUGCGAAUGCUGACAUAAGUAACGAUAAAGCGGGUGAAAAGCCCGCUCGCCGGAAGACCAAGGGUUCCUGUCCAACGUUAAUCGGGGCAGGGUGAGUCGACCCCUAAGGCGAGGCCGAAAGGCGUAGUCGAUGGGAAACAGGUUAAUAUUCCUGUACUUGGUGUUACUGCGAAGGGGGGACGGAGAAGGCUAUGUUAGCCGGGCGACGGUUGUCCCGGUUUAAGCAUGUAGGCUGGUUAUCCAGGCAAAUCCGGAUAAUCAAGGCUGAGGUGUGAUGACGAGGCACUACGGUGCUGAAGUAACAAAUGCCCUGCUUCCAGGAAAAGCCUCUAAGCAUCAGGUAACAUCAAAUCGUACCCCAAACCGACACAGGUGGUCAGGUAGAGAAUACCAAGGCGCUUGAGAGAACUCGGGUGAAGGAACUAGGCAAAAUGGUGCCGUAACUUCGGGAGAAGGCACGCUGGUGUGUAGGUGAAGUCCCUGCGGAUGGAGCUGAGACCAGUCGAAGAUACCAGCUGGCUGCAACUGUUUAUUAAAAACACAGCACUGUGCAAACACGAAAGUGGACGUAUACGGUGUGACGCCUGCCCGGUGCCGGAAGGUUAAUUGAUGGGGUUAUCCGUAAGGAGAAGCUCUUGAUCGAAGCCCCGGUAAACGGCGGCCGUAACUAUAACGGUCCUAAGGUAGCGAAAUUCCUUGUCGGGUAAGUUCCGACCUGCACGAAUGGCGUAAUGAUGGCCAGGCUGUCUCCACCCGAGACUCAGUGAAAUUGAACUCGCUGUGAAGAUGCAGUGUACCCGCGGCAAGACGGAAAGACCCCGUGAACCUUUACUAUAGCUUGACACUGAACAUUGAGCCUUGAUGUGUAGGAUAGGUGGGAGGCUUUGAAGCGUGGACGCCAGUCUGCGUGGAGCCAACCUUGAAAUACCACCCUUUAAUGUUUGAUGUUCUAACGUUGGCCCCUUACCGGGGUUGCGGACAGUGUCUGGUGGGUAGUUUGACUGGGGCGGUCUCCUCCCAAAGCGUAACGGAGGAGCACGAAGGUUAGCUAAUCCUGGUCGGACAUCAGGAGGUUAGUGCAAUGGCAUAAGCUAGCUUGACUGCGAGCGUGACGGCGCGAGCAGGUGCGAAAGCAGGUCAUAGUGAUCCGGUGGUUCUGAAUGGAAGGGCCAUCGCUCAACGGAUAAAAGGUACUCCGGGGAUAACAGGCUGAUACCGCCCAAGAGUUCAUAUCGACGGCGGUGUUUGGCACCUCGAUGUCGGCUCAUCACAUCCUGGGGCUGAAGUAGGUCCCAAGGGUAUGGCUGUUCGCCAUUUAAAGUGGUACGCGAGCUGGGUUUAGAACGUCGUGAGACAGUUCGGUCCCUAUCUGCCGUGGGCGCUGGAGAAUUGAGGGGGGCUGCUCCUAGUACGAGAGGACCGGAGUGGACGCAUCACUGGUGUUCGGGUUGUCAUGCCAAUGGCACUGCCCGGUAGCUAAAUGCGGAAGAGAUAAGUGCUGAAAGCAUCUAAGCACGAAACUUGCCCCGAGAUGAGUUCUCCCUGAGACUUUAAGUCUCCUGAAGGAACGUUAAAGACGAUGACGUUGAUAGGCCGGGUGUGUAAGCGCAGCGAUGCGUUGAGCUAACCGGUACUAAUGAACCGUGAGGCUUAACCUUACAACGCCGAAG